rnacentral:tRNA from 1 species
ACUAUUUUGACAGAAAAAAUGUGAUGAUUUUAGAAGUCAUAAAUAUAUAUAGUUAUAUAUAUACAUAGUA